rnacentral:rRNA from 1 species
GACGAACGCUGGCGGCGUGCUUAACACAUGCAAGUCGAACGAAGAGCGAUGGAAGCUUGCUUCUAUCAAUCUUAGUGGCGAACGGGUGAGUAACGCGUAAUCAACCUGCCCUUCAGAGGGGGACAACAGUUGGAAACGACUGCUAAUACCGCAUACGAUCUAAUCUCGGCAUCGAGGAUAGAUGAAAGGUGGCCUCUACAUGUAAGCUAUCACUGAAGGAGGGGAUUGCGUCUGAUUAGCUAGUUGGAGGGGUAACGGCCCACCAAGGCGAGGAUCAGUAGCCGGACUGAGAGGAUGGACGGCCACAUUGGGACUGAAACACGGCCCAGACUCCUACGGGAGGCAGCAGUGGGGAAUCUUCCGCAAUGGACGGAAGUCUGACGGAGCAACGCCGCGUGAGGGAUGACGGCCUUCGGGUUGUAAAGCUCUGUUAAUCGGGACGAAAGGCCUUCUUGCGAAUAGUGAGAAGGAUUGACGGUACCGGAAUAGAAAGCCACGGCUAACUACGUG